UUAACUAUUAUAUAGUACUCAGACGACACUAAUAAUCAGGGUUUGGGGUCCUCUGGCGGGCGCUUACCAGCCGGGGCCGGUAGCCGGGCGUGAGCCUGACGGCCCGCCAAAGCAACAAAGUAAUAAUAACACAGGGUGGGAGAUCUACCCGUAAGGGCAUGAACUCUGUAAUGAUCCCUCCGCAGGUUCACCUACGGAGA
rnacentral:misc_RNA from 1 species